rnacentral:lncRNA from 1 species
AGAAAAACGCGCUAGUAGGUCCAAUGGGUUUAAACACAUUGAGAGAGAUCUGCAUCACGUUGACGGUUGUGGUGUGAUUUAAGAUAAAUACAUAGAAAAAUAAAUUAAUUAAACUGUGAUAAUUGUCAACGUACAGAUAAGAAAAAAAUGCAAGGGGAAAAUAACCAUAGUGAUAUGCCUGGCUCAUUUAAUAGUAGUUGUUAUAAUGUAAAAUAAUGCAAACAGUGAAUAUCUUUUAAAAGUUGCUGUAUUUUGAGAGAAUAUGGGAGACAGGAAGAAUGCAAAGGCAUAAAUUUUCAGUGUAUGUAUAAGAAAGAGACUAAAUCAUCACAUUGCAUUUAGAAAAGCUAAAAGAUAAUUCUCAUCACUGAAAAAGCUUAAAGUAGCUAUAAAAUCUUACUACAUUAAGUACCAAAAGGGUCAGCUUAAAAUGUUGAAGGUGUCUGCCUUCAGGGAACUGGUAAUUGGGAGUAGUCAGAAUAAUUAAUUAAUUAGCCUCAUAGAACUGUUUGACUCUUUAAGAGUAUAACUUUAGUAAAAUUUUAAAGCUAAAUUAUUUAAAUAAAGCACAUUUGAGACACUGUAGUCUAUGCACACUUCCUUGGGUUUUUGUUAUGAUCUUUGUUUCUUCAGUGAUUAUGCGAGCCUGACGUCAGUGGAAGCAGAAGUGAGGAUUUGGAAGAUGGGGUCCUUCUUUCAGAAGAUUUUGAGAUGCAACCAGAUGAAGUAAAUUGAGUUGCCAAUCUGACCAAGGACCGUGUUGUUUCCUAUGAAAGCCAGCCAACUAGAUUUUGAAAAGACAUCCUCUGCUAUUCAUGAUGAAGAGAGGUGGAAGUGAGGUGUGGAAUCUCUAUGAUCUAUUUUAGAUUAUGACGUCAAAGGGUUAAGGAUGAAUUACCUUAACUUUGAUUAUAUAUGGUUUUUUUUUUUUCAGUUUGAACCACAACCCUAACGUUAUUAAAAUGUGGCUUUUGUAUUUCAUUAAAGUUAAGCAAUUAGGUUUGCAUUUUUGAUGCACCAUAAUUGUAAUAGUGUGACAUUAUUCUGAUGAUAAUGUUCAUUGAUCUUUCAUAAUGCAACUACUCACACCAUGAAUCAAAUAUAAAUCAACACCUUUUUUAUUUUUCAUGCAGUAAAGCCCUCUCUUUUCAGAUUGAUAAUUUGCACUCACAGUAUAAUCUUCAGCUGUCAGAAUGAUUUUGGUAUAAAUUCCAUCUGCAUUCUUAUCACAGAUCUUUGAACCCUUAUGAAAAGUGUUUUAGAAAUAAACCAAAUACAAGAACAGGGAGAGGUUUUAGC